rnacentral:lncRNA from 1 species
GUCCAUUUCUGGAACUGCUAUUUGUAUAUUGCAUGAUAUUUUAUCAGGAAAAAAUAUAAAACAGAUCUAAUUUCAUGAAAAUGCUGUUGCCAUAAUGCUCAGGAGAACAGGGGGAAGAGAGAGAUUCAAGUCUUCCUAAUGUCUACCUUAUAUGCAGAGCCUUGGAAAGAUGGGCAAAUGCUCUGUGACAAGCCACCAGGGUAGACUGGUACUGAAAAGACCCUACUACACACAGGGGCUCUGUCCCUGGCUGGAAAGUUACAAGUCAGCCUACCUCUCUGUGAUCUGGUUUCCACACCUACUACUCUUUAUCCCAUGAGGAGCUUCUGGAAACUAAAAUAGGUACGUAAUCAAAACCAAAAGAAGACAUUGGUUCAAGGAUCCUCAAGAGCUCAGCAUCAUGUUUCUGUUGUUUCUUUUUGAAUAGACAAAAUUCUCAGUGUUCAGUAGCUACACACACACACACACACACACACACAAACACACACACCCCACACACAAAAGUAGCAUCUCCACAAUGUUGCAUGCAUCAGGAAAGCAAAUGUUUUUACCACAGGCUGGCUAUGCCUCAUCCUCUUAAACUAGCAUCUUGAGGUCUUUGCAGAAGCCAUUUUAUAGAUGCCUACACUCAUCCCAUUACUUGCAUUCUCAUCCUGAGGGUAUUUUAAGGAGUCAAAAUAAAGUUUACUUAGGCGUGUGUGAGAGACAGAAUGAUAGACCAAAAGAGAAGGCUAGGGCUUCGUAAUAUUUAGAUAAUGAUGAAACUGAAAUGGCUGAUGCAGAGUGCAGUAAUUAUAUAGGAUACUUUAUUAUUUGGGUUCACCUUUGCUCAGUAGUGAAUUAUAAGCACUCUACUAGGUGAGAGGUUUGGCUUCCAAAAUGAACAGCUGGCGCAGGAUGGAACUGUCAGACCAUGUCACAUGAUAAAUAAAAUAAUACAUAGAAACUUUAGGAUCUCCUAAUUGGAAGCUUCCUUUAGACAACAAAAGAUGCCAGGCUAUCUGCUGCCCCCUAACUGGUACCAUGAAGAACAGCACAUAACUUUUUAAGAAACAAAGUCUGAUUCAGGUACAAUUAGUUAGUGGCUGAGUCAACCUCCUAAGUUAUAGUUGUGAAUUUGGCCAUUUCCAUGAACCUGUUUGUUGCGAUUAAGGCAAAGUCAUCGGGUAGAGUCUGUUUUGUUUCUGUCUUUUCCUGAUGGAGAGGCACUCCUGAUUUGCAGCAGCUGCCCAGGUAGAAGAGUGUUGACCAAAGGACACAUCACCAGCACAGACUGUUAAUCAUGUGACUAGAGAAAACUCUCAUGGUGGCAUUCAAAUUUCCAUAUCCUUCUUCUAUGGAAAUUUCUGAGAGACCCAGAAAAGAAGCGUAACGACGAGGGAAAGUGAUUCCUGCAGACCUGAACAUUCCAGACUUACCAGGUGAUCCAGCUGUCUGUCAGCGGGAAGAGGCUGAGGCGCCCCCUUCUGGUGCAUCUGAAUAGUAAGAAACCCUGUGUAGAAAGAAACCCUGUAGCAAUUGGGCACCUUCUCCGUGAUCUGUCUGCUUCCAAUACCAAAAAUUGUUGCUUUUUAAAUGACAUCCAUCCUAAGCUUAAAAAAGACGCAUAUUAUUUGUAUAAAAUGUUGAAGACGCAGAACAAAAAAUGUAAAUCACAUGUAAUCAUCCCUUCCAGAAAUAAUCGUUAUUAAAAUUUCUGUGUAUGUGUAAAAAAAAAAAUUGCAAUCCUACUGUAAUAUAAUCCUGUAUACUGAUAUUUUUCACCUAUCACUGUAUGUUGAGCAUUUUCAAUAGUCAAAUUAUUUCUUGAAAAUAUUAAUGACUGGGGAGUAACCUUUCAAAUAGGUGUGUCUUUAUUUUUAAACCAGUCCACAAUUAUUGUAUAUUGAAGUCAUUUCCCAAAUUUUGUAAGUAUAAGUAUUGCAUCCAUCCUUAUAUGUAUUUAAAUGCAUCUCUUAUUAUUUCCUUGAGAUAAGUUCCUAGAAGUGGAAUCACUGGAUUUAAAAAUGUGGACAUAUUUAUGCCAGACGCGGUGGGUCAUGCCUGUAAUCCCAGCACUUUGGGAGACUGAAGCAGGUGGAUCACUUGAGGUCAGGAGUUCAAGACCAGCCUGGCCAACAUAGUGAAACCCCAUCUCUACUAAAAUUACAAAAAUUAGCCGGGUGUGGUAGUGCACGCCUGUAAUCCCAGCUACUCAGGAGGCUGAGGCAUAAGAAUCACUUGAACUCAGGAGGCGGAGGUUGCAGUGAGCCAAGAUGGCACCACUGCGCUCCAGUCUGGGCGACAGAGUAAGACUUCAUCUCAAAAAUAAAUAAAU